GGUUGCGGCCAUAUCUAACAGAAAGCACCGUUUCCCGUCCGAUCAACUGUAGUUAAGCUGUUAAGAGCCUGGACUGAGUAGUGUAGUGGGAGACCAUACGCGAAAUUCAGGUGCUGCAAUUC
rnacentral:rRNA from 1 species